rnacentral:lncRNA from 1 species
UCUGAUGUUGUUGUGCAUCGAUCCUGUUUACUGUACCGACCAACACCUUGAUCUGUUCGCCCACAGUGCUACUUCUUGAUCCGCCUACACUACCAUGAGGAUUUGGUAUUCCUUCUGCAUGCCUACAACAAAUACUUCAUGUCCGAGCCCUCUUUCUAACUGCAGCUUCUGAAUUUGCAACAGCACCAUGGCUAACUCUUCUGUUGUACUAAUUUCUCCUCCUCUAACUUCUCC